rnacentral:rRNA from 1 species
GACGAACGCUGGCGGCGUGCUUAACACAUGCAAGUCGAACGGAAAGGCCCUGCUUUUGUGGGGUGCUCGAGUGGCGAACGGGUGAGUAACACGUGAGUAACCUGCCCUUGACUUUGGGAUAACUUCAGGAAACUGGGGCUAAUACCGGAUAGGAGCUCCUGCUGCAUGGUGGGGGUUGGAAAGUUUCGGCGGUUGGGGAUGGACUCGCGGCUUAUCAGCUUGUUGGUGGGGUAGUGGCUUACCAAGGCUUUGACGGGUAGCCGGCCUGAGAGGGUGACCGGCCACAUUGGGACUGGGAUACGGCCCAGACUCCUACGGGAGGCAGCAGUGGGGAAUAUUGCACAAUGGGCGGAGGCCUGAUGCGGCAACGCCGCGUGCGGGAUGACGGCCUUCGGGUUGUAACCCGCUUUCGCCUGUGACGAAGCGUGAGUGACGGUAAUGGGUAAAGAAGCACCGGCUAACUACGUG